AGUGGACGCUGGCGGUAGGCCUAACACAUGCAAGUCGAACGGCAGCACAGUAAGAGCUUGCUCUUACGGGUGGCGAGUGGCGGACGGGUGAGGAAUACAUCGGAAUCUACUUUUUCGUGGGGGAUAACGUAGGGAAACUUACGCUAAUACCGCAUACGACCUACGGGUGAAAGCAGGGGAUCUUCGGACCUUGCGCGAUUGAAUGAGCCGAUGUCGGAUUAGCUAGUUGGCGGGGUAAAGGCCCUCCAAGGCGACGAUCCGUAGCUGGUCUGAGAGGAUGAUCAGCCACACUGGAACUGAGACACGGUCCAGACUCCUACGGGAGGCAGCAGUGGGGAAUAUUGGACAAUGGGCGCAAGCCUGAUCCAGCCAUACCGCGUGGGUGAAGAAGGCCUUCGGGUUGUAAAGCCCUUUUGUUGGGAAAGAAAAGCAGCAGGUUAAUACCCCGCUGUUCUGACGGUACCCAAAGAAUAAGCACCGGCUAACUUCGUG
rnacentral:rRNA from 1 species